GAUGAACGCUGGCGGCGUGCCUAAUACAUGCAAGUCGAGCGAACAGACGAGGAGCUUGCGCCUCUGACGUUAGCGGCGGACGGGUGAGUAACACGUGGAUAACCUACCUAUAAGACUGGGAUAACUUCGGGAAACCGGAGCUAAUACCGGAUAAUAUAUUGAACCGCAUGGGUCAAUAGUGAAAGACGGUUUUGCUGUCACUUAUAGAUGGAUCCGCGCCGUAUUAGCUAGUUGGUAAGGUAACGGCUUACCAAGGCAACGAUGCGUAGCCGACCUGAGCGGGUGGUCGGCCACACUGGAACUGAGACACGGUCCAGACUCCUACGGGAGGCAGCAGUAGGGAAUCUUCCGCAAUGGGCGAAAGCCUUACGGAGCGACGCCGCGUGAGUGAUGAAGGUGUUGGGAUCGUAAAACUCUGUUAUUAGGGGAGAACAAAUGUGUAAGUAACUAUGCACGUCUUGACGGUACCUAAUCAGAAAGCCACGGCUAACUACGUG
rnacentral:rRNA from 1 species